CACCAUAUAUGCUAGUCGCUUGCUACAGCUCCACCUCAUACCUUUUACCCUUCCUAUAAGCUUGAAUAGUCUUGAUCGCGAGGGUGUGAGAUUGCUGAGUCCCCGUGACUCACAGUUACUUCCAAAACCAGUUUGUAGGUGCCGAUGUUACCAAGCAGAUGAUGCAACGGAGCUCAAGGAGGAGCUCGAUGAAGAUCUUGUCCUUGGUGUUGUUUCGUUCUAGUUGAUCAGUAGUGGAGCCCAGUUGGGGUCGAUCGGGGAUCUGUGUAGCUUUUGGGGUAGUCUUCUUUUAUUUUGGCUCCAUAGUCGGGCCUUGAUUGUAUUUGGUUGAUAUAAUGUUUUAUUCAUGUAAUUGUGUGAAGCGGCGGUUGUAAGCCAACUAUGUAUCUCUUUCCCUUUAUGUAUUACAUGGGUUGUUUGCGAAGAUUACCUCACUUGCGAUGUUGCUUUCAAUGCGGUUAUGCCUCUAAGUCGUGCUUCGACAUGUGAGAGAUAUAGCCGCAUCGAGGGCGUUACAAGUUGGUAAUCAGAGCCUUCCCUGACCUUAGGAGCCCCCUGCUUGAUUGAAUCACUGACGUUAUUGAGUCUAGAAAUGUUUUGAGUCAUUUAGGAUUAUAUAUAUCGGAGAGUUAGGAAUUUGUUUUUACUCCUCAGUCCCUUCAUCGCUCUGGUGAGGCAUCCUGACGCAGAGUUUUGACUCUUCUCUUCUCAAAUUUCAUUAAAAAAAUUUAGGAUCAUGCGGGUAUCUUGGAAUCGUUCCGAUGGAUUUGUGACGAGAACAUUGUUCUGGGUGCCUCCUAUCAUUUAGGGGUUGUGGCAGUGUCCCGGGGAGUUGAGCUCCGAGGUGUUGUCGUCACAAUUUUAUCGUUGCAGUUCUGGAAUACCUGAGUUAGUUUUGCCGACAUAAAAAAUCUCUUUUAUGCAGUUGUUGGUGAGAUAACCUCGACGCCACCCAGUACUGGGGCGGGAGUUCGGGAGUAUUGCCAUAACUCGUAUAAUGGAUGCUUUUCGAAGGUUGAGGUAGAUAAUUUCUGAAGGUUUCUUGGUUAUGUGUUGAAGGAUGGAUACAGCUGGAUGUAGGAUUUGCUAGUUUUGGGUGAGAUAUUAUGCUUCCCCUGUAUCCCCAACACCUGAUUGCAUAACUAGAAAGUUUCAGGAGUUUAUAAGUGGGAAUUCAAGUAGCUCCUAGGAUUUCUUUCCGACAGAUGUAUGAUACGAAAUUGGGGUUCGACGUCUAGUGGUCCGCCUAUCCACGGUUGGUUUUACAGUGGUCUCGUUGUGUCUUAAAGAGUCCUUGGCUAUGCCGGCCCGGGGACGCUUCGUAUGUCAUGUGCACUGCCUUGUACAUGAUGGUGUUGUACGAUCGAGCCCGUGUAGGCCCCACCACAAAAACUUCGGACGAAAUCUCUAUCAUAUGUUUGUUCUGGCUUAUUCUGCAAGCCAAUCCUUUGUUUUGUUUUGAGUUGUGGUAUUCGAGUUGCUUCAGAGACAAAUGUGGAUUCCAUCCCUUUCCUAAGCAGUGUUCUCAUAUUUUUAUGUGAAUACUAAUCCUUCUUGAUCGUCAAGAUUGUUUUGUCAAUCCUUUUUAACCGGCGUGCUUCUCUUCAAGUGGAUCCGAUCACUUCAACAUUCGCAAGAUCAAUUAUCAGUUCUUCUCAACGGUGUUUGUUUCAUCCGUCUCCAAGUUGCCUUUGUUUUUCCCGCCCACCCACCCUUUUUCCUCAAGUACUAAGAUUUCUUUAUCAAGUAUCCUUUUAUUCUUGUGAAGUCUCUCCAUUCUUUUCCGUCAAUGUUCUUACCCGGUGAUUUUCAUGAAGAUCCUAACGGAACCUCAAGUACAUCUUUACCCAUUCUAAUUCUUCUCCAGUGGUUUCAAUUCAAGCUUUCGGUGUUGAUCAUAUUCUUUUCCUAUUUCAAUGUUUUCUCAUGCUGGUGUACCUCAUAAUCAUUCAUUUCUUGCUAUUCAUUUGUUCCGGUGCCCUGAAGAUAUCUCAGAAGGCUUGUCUUGUCAUCCAAGAUCCGUUCAACCUAUUUCGAGGUUAUUAUCCCAUUCAAGCCAUUUAAUUCAACCGGUGCAAUCUCUCCUUCAAAUCAUUCAAUGGUGUAUCUUUUGAGUGGGCCCUAACCCACAGGUCUUUCUCCAGGAUCUUACCUGGCUCUUCUAUUUUUCCCCGGAGCUACCAUCAAAUUCUUUUCGAAGUUUGACGUAAGAAUGAUUUAUCUUCAGUCAAAUGCCUUUCUCCAAGAUCUUUCAAAUUCUUUUCAUCGUUGGUUCAACUUUCCAUUCUUCUUUAUUCUGGAGGAUCUCAACAAUUUGGUGGUGUUUCUCGGCGUAAUUCUUAGAUUCUGAAGACCGAAGAAGAGUUUCUUUUAAAUCUUGCCCCAUUCUCGGCCAUCAUCUCAUAAUUGUUUUUGAUUGUGAGAAUCCUUUUCACCCAUCCGGAGCUAUUCAAGAGUCUUCUCAGUUUGUUUUUCCAGAGUACAUCAUUUCAGGUUUAUUCAUUCCCAUAAUUCAGUUAUCAUUCUCCAAUCUUAAUGGUGCAUCGUUCAAGUGAUCUCUAAUCAGUUAUGAUCCCUUCGUUCUCAUGUAUCUAGAUUGUCUCAAGCAUCUUCGUUCUUUUUAUAAUUCUUCCCGGUGUUUCUUUAUCUUUACUUCGUUCAUUUUCAAUUCUUACCGGUGGCUCGUUCAAGAUUUCUCUUCCUUUGUUAUUGUAUCGAUUCAUUUGUUAUUUCUAUCCUACCGGUGGUUCGUUCAAUAUUUUCCCAAGUUUAUGCUACAUCUCUCUUCAAUCCUUUGCAACGAGAAUAAGUAGUUUGUAAAAUCCGUUGAUGGUCAUCAAUUUAAUUGGUGAAGGAUAAGCAUAAUGUAAUUCUUAUUCUUGUUUCAUCCAAGUGAUUAAUUCCUUAUUCCGGAGGUUCAUCAAAUUCUCGAUUUCAUGCAUCUGAUCUUUCUUUCCCGGAGUCCCAACCUUUACAAUUAUUUCACCACGGAGUUUCAUCUAAAUCAUUACAAGGUUUCACCUUGUGUUUUCAACUUCUCUUUCCUUUCGUUUGAUCAUUCCUUUUGUUUACUGGAGUUCUUUAUGAAGGUUCUACAUGAUGGAUCAUCAAGGAUUUAAUUCCUUCUCGAAGUGUUCAUCGAGAUUCUUUUUAGAGGAUCUCAAGCAUUCUUCAUCUUGCAUUUCGAAGUGCAAUUCUUUCUUCCAUAUCAUUGGAGGUGGUAUUAUGUCAUUCUCGAUAAUUUGAGUUCAUGUUUCAUGAUUCACAUGUUGUCAAGGAUGAGAUAUUUUAAAUCCAUCAAUCUUGUGAUUUUAGUUAUCUUGGGUUAUAUUCCACCUAAAGCCUUCCCUAAGGUUUGUUGCUGUCUAUGGUGCUUAUAAAGGACCCAAGUUCUUCUUUAUCCUCCCGAUGAAAUAUUUUCUCGUCUCCUUGUUCAUACCAAUCCGAUUCUUUUUCCCGUGAGUGGCAGCUUGUCACCUCAUAAUUUCAGAUGUAUUCCAUAAGACCAUAUCAAGCUUAUCCUUUUUCGUUGUUAGUUUUCCAACAACUCCGUCCGAACCUUAUCCUAAGUAUGCCUUUUCAAGCUCUUUUGAGGCAGAAGUUGACAUUUUCUUCUCCAUUCUCCUAUUUCAAUUAUCUAUAUUCUAUUCUUUCGUUCUGGAGGCAUUGCGAUGUUGUUCUUUUCACCCAUCAUCUCGUUUUGACAAAGAUCAUGUUCUUUUCAGGCCUAUCCUUUUAACCGGAGUGUUGUGCCAUUUUGCUCAAGUUAUUUUCGCCUUAUCAAGUCUUGCAUCUCUUUUAACCGGAGUGCCAUACGAAUUUGUUCUUCCUUGUUCCUCUUUCCUAACGGAGUGCUUUCAACUUCGUUCAUAUCCAUUGUAUUCUUUCCUCAAAAUGGCUUAACCUUUUCAAGGUUCUUUGGUUUCACUCGUUUGUCAAAGAAGCAACUUAUUUUUACCUCUUCUCUUUCUCUUCCGUUUUCCCUACGGUGCCAUUCUAGAUCUCGGGACGAGAUCCUCUCAUAGUGGUGGAGUGUUGUGACGCCCCGAGACUGAUGCGCCAGGUGUCUUCCAAUUAUUCGCCGAUGUUGCCAUGUCAUUCACUUGCGUGUUGCAUCUUGCCAUGUCAUCAGGUGCAUUGCAUCAUCAUGUUUUAAAAACUUGCAUUCGUCCGGAUUCUCUGAGUUCUCUCCGUUGUCCGUUCUGAGCCCAACCACACUUGCACACGCCCGCGGCAUGCCCGAAAUAGUAUUUUAUACGUGGCUGGAAAAUGUUCUUGGAUUGGGUUGAAAGUUGACGUGUGGUCUUAUUAUAGUGUAGAUAGACCGCCUGUCAAGUUUCAUCGCAUUCGGAGUUUGUUUGACAGCCCAACCGUUAAACUAUAGCGGCAUUAUAGCCGGUCUAACGUCGGACGUUUUCGGUUUUCGGAAACAGUCGCCAGGUCUCUCUCUUAUCUUCUCUCAGUCCAAGGCUUUCUGCACAGCCCACUGCCUACCGAUAGGCCCAACCUAACCUCUCUUGUCAGCCCGCGGACCUCCCCUCGCACGCGUCCGAAAGUUGUCUCGAACCCGACCCGGACAAUCGUUACCGUUGUGUCCGGAUCAUCCCCAAACAUCUACAAAACAUCUCCGUUUUCUUAUUUGGGCUCAUUAGCCUAUUUUUCCCGACCGUCCAAUUACGAUCGAAGGGAUGGAUUAGCCCCUACCCAAAUCCACUUGGUAUUUAUAACCAGACCAAACCCUAUAAUCUAGGAUUAUGUCCCAUCCAUCCCAUCCCCACGCCGCCGCCACUUCUCUUGUUCUCAGCGCCGAACCAACCAACCAACCAGCCUCCAUCUUGCCCGAUCCAAACCCAAUCCCCAUCGAUCCAAAAAUCCUCUCGUCCUCCAUCCAGCGCCUCAUCGCCCCUCCCGUGCCUUGAUCGAGGAUGGAUCGAGAGCAGCGCCGUCAGGCCCCGAGCAACACCGCGCCAUGGCCCCUGCCAUCAAGCCGCAGCUCCUGCCCACGGAGCCCCUCGUCCCCGUGCCCCUAUUUCGCUCGGACCCCGCGACCAUGAGGAGGCUGUGCGAGCGGCGCUGCUGCACCUCGUCACCAUCACCUGCCCGCCGGAGUCCCCUGUCUGCCGUCUCUCUUUGCUUUCCUUCCCCUGAACCUUCUCUGAACCUCUCUCUCUCUCUCUUUUCUUUAGUCAACAGCAGCAGUCGCUGCAUUCUCUCGCCGGUGAGCCCAGGGGAUGUGUCGCGCGCCCCUGCCUCCUUCCCCAUGCCCGGAUCCGCCGACGCGUCGUCCCGGAACCCCACGUCCAAGUCCCGCACCCCCACGACCUCGCUGCAGCUCAGUGCCGCCGCAAGUCCACAUCAUUGACGGCCUCAGCUUCCCCUACAACAGAACGAGCGCCUACCUGCGUUGACCGACCAGUCUUAGCUCGUCCAUGGCCGCGCUACGCCAUGGCCUUGUAGCUCCCUUCCAUCGCGGCCGGCCCCUUUCGCCUCCACGUCGUCCCCGUCGCCAUGUCCGACCGCGGGAGUCGCCGCUGCAUCCCCUGCUUCACGACGAGGCGUGCCCCUCGUUGACUUGAUCCAGCGCCCGAGUGGGCCGGCCUGCCAGCGCCCGAGGCCCAGAUGCGCCCCUGCCGGCCUGCCACUGUUACACCGACCGGGCCUCGGCCCAGGGUGAGCAGCCCCCCCAGCACCCUCUGUUAUUUUUUUCCCGCCGAUUGGGCCAACCUGUUUCAGCCAUUGUAUUUUCUUAUGCGCUGCGAAUUUUGCCAUUUAACCAGAGACUGCCUGUUUUACAGAAGACCCCUCAUAGUUCAUGCAUAUAAUAACUUAAUAACUAAGCAUCACAUGUAAAAACUUAAUAUAUGAAACUUGCUUAGAAUUUUGUCUAGUUUCAUAAUUUGCCAUUUUCAUCUAUGUUUAAAAUGCGGUUUGAUGAAAUUUGCCUCUAUGCCAUGUUAAAAUGCUUUAAUUCAUAACUAAAUAACCGUAGCUCGGAUUUAAAUAAUCUUUAUAUGUAAAUGGGGUAGCAAAAUGCCUAGUUUAACAUGUUGGCAUCACUUUGCAUGUUUAACAACUAUAAAAUAUGGUUUAGGGCAGAACAGUACCAAACCUAAUAUAUGCAUAUGAGGAUUUUCCGAAAUUGCUGUUCGUUGUCUCCGGCCUCAUUUAAACUUGCCUAGAUAGGUAGUUUUCAUUUGCUUCACCCUCUUGCCAUGUUUAACAACAUUAAAUAUUGUUGGGUACAUAAACAAGAUCAAACUAAAUAAGUCAUGUGGGGUUUUGUCAAUAUGCAACGGAGUUGCAUGUUGAGCUCCACUUAAUUUGUACGAUUGUUUGUGCAUUUUUCCAUGCCAUGCCUCAUUAAACCGGACAUGCAUCAUAGUUGUUUGCGCAUUGUGCCAUGCUUAUGUGAUGGUUGUUUACUAUGUUGUUUGCUCCUUUCAGGUGUUGCUUCUUCGGGUAGGUUCCGGUAACGUUGCGUUUGUGAGGAUCCGUUGACUACGUCCGUUUGUCUUCUUCGUGGACUCGUUUUCUUCCUUGCAGGAUUUCAGGCAAGAUGACCAUACCCUUGAAAUCACUUCUAUCUUUGCUUGCUAGAUGCUCGCUCUUUUGCUAUGCCUAUGCUACGAUACCUACCACUUGCUUAUCAUGCCUCCCAUAUUGCCAUGUCAAACCUCUAACCCACCUUGUCCUAGCAAACCGUUGUUUGGCUAUGUUACCACUUUGCUCAGCCCUUCUUAUAGCAUUGAUAGUUGUAGGUGAAGAUUGGAGUUUGUUCCGUGUUGGAACAUGGACAUUUUGUUGGGAUAUCACAAUAUCACUUAUUUAAUUAAUGCAUCUAUAUACUUGGUAAAGGGUGGAAGGCUCGGCCUUAUGCCUGGUGUUUUGUUCCACUCUUGCCGCCCUAGUUUCCGUCAUAUCGGUGUUAUGUUCCUGGAUUUUGCGUUCCUUACGCGGUUGGGUUAUAAUGGGAACCCCUUGACAGUUCGCUUUGAAUAAAACUCCUCCAGCAAGGCCCAACCUUGGUUUUACCAUUCGCCACCUAGCCUCUUUUUCCCUUGGGUUAGGCCAGCCCAAGGGUCAUCUUUAUUUUAACCCCCCCCGGGCCAGUGCUUGUCUAAGUGUUGGUCUGAAAUGGGCAGCCUGCGGGGCCACCUCGGGGAAACUUGAGGGCUGGUUUUACUCGUAGCUUGACCUAUCCGGUAUUGCCCUGAGAAUGAGAUAUGUGCAGCUCCCAUUAGGAUGUCGGCGCAUCGGGCAGCUUUGCUGGAUUUGUUUUACCAUUUGUUUUACCUCUUGAUCAUAGUUUCUCGGUCGUGCUUUUCCUUCUCUUCUCGCUCUCUUUUGCGUAUGUUAGCCACCAUAUAUGCUAGUCGCUUGCUGCAGCUCCACCUCAUACCUUUUACCCUUCCUAUAAGCUUGAAUAGUCUUGAUCGCGAGGGUGUGAGAUUGCUGAGUCCCCGUGACUCACAGUUACUUCCAAAACCAGUUUGCAGGUGCAGAUGUUACCGAGCAGAUGACGCAACAGAGCUCAAGGAGGAGCUCGAUGAAGAUUUUGUCCUUGGUGUUGUUUUGUUCUAGUUGAUCAGUAGUGGAGCCCAGUUGGUGUCGAUCGGGGAUCUGUGUAGCUUUUAGGGUAGUCUUCUUUUAUUUUGGCUCCAUAGUCGGGCCUUGAUUGUAUUUGGUUGAUGUAAUGUUUUAUUCAUGUAAUUGUGUGAAGUGGC
rnacentral:lncRNA from 1 species